rnacentral:rRNA from 1 species
ACUCAAAUGAAUUGACGGGGGCCCGCACAAGCGGUGGAGCAUGUGGUUCAAUUCGACGCAACGCGAAGAACCUUACCUGGGCUCGAACGGCUUCCCAACGCCGGUGGAAACAUCGGUAUCCCGCAAGGGAGUGGAGUCGAGGUGCUGCAUGGCUGUCGUCAGCUCGUGUCGUGAGAUGUUGGGUUAAGUCCCGCAACGAGCGCAACCCUUGUCCUGUGUUGCUAUCUCGCAAGAGAGCACUCGCAGGAGACCGCCAGCGAUAAGCUGGAGGAAGGUGGGGAUGACGUCAAGUCCUCAUGGCCUUUAUGUCCAGGGCUACACACGUGCUACAAUGGCCGGUACAAAGCGUUCCCAAGCCGCGAGGUGGAGGCAAUCGCAAAAAACCGGUCUCAGUUCGGAUUGCAGGCUGCAACUCGCCUGCAUGAAGCUGGAAUCGCUAGUAAUGGCAGAUCAGCACGCUGCCGUGAAUACGUUCCCGGGCCUUGUACACACCGCCCGU